rnacentral:rRNA from 1 species
AAUGCGCCCACAGGGCUAAUUUUCUGAUUAACAACCGUCGUGUCGGUAACGAGUUAUCUGAACCUUUUGGGAACGAUAACGGCGUCGAGCGGCGGACGGGUGAGUAAUGCCUAGGAAAUUGCCCUGAUGUGGGGGAUAACCAUUGGAAACGAUGGCUAAUACCGCAUAAUGCCUACGGGCCAAAGAGGGGGACCUUCGGGCCUCUCGCGUCAGGAUAUGCCUAGGUGGGAUUAGCUAGUUGGUGAGGUAAUGUUUCACCAAGGCGCCCAUCCCUAGCUGGUCUGAGAGGAUGAUCAGCCACACUGGAACUGAGACACGGUCCAGACUCCUACGGGAGGCAGCAGCGGGGAAUAUUGCACAAUGGGCGCACGGCCUGAUGCAGCCAUGCCGCCG